UACGGAGGGGGCUAGCGUUGUCCGAAUUUACUGGGCGUAAAGCGCGCGUAGGCGGGUUGGCAAGUCCGCUGUGAAAGCCCGGAGCUUAACUCCGGAGGGUCGGUGGAUACUGCCAGUCUUGAAGGUGCUAGGGGGAGAUGGAAUUACCGGUGUAGCGGUGAAAUGCGUAGAUAUCGGUAGGAACACCAGUGGCGAAGGCGGUCUCCUGGGGCAUUCUUGACGCUGAGGCGCGAAAGCUGGGGGAGCAAACGGG
rnacentral:rRNA from 1 species